rnacentral:rRNA from 1 species
CGGCGGACGGGUGAGUAACACGUGGAUAACCUACCUAUAAGACUGGGAUAACUUCGGGAAACCGGAGCUAAUACCGGAUAAUAUAUUGAACCGCAUGGUUCAAUAGUGAAAGACGGUUUUGCUGUCACUUAUAUAUGGAUCCGCGCCGCAUUAGCUAGUUGGUAAGGUAACGGCUUACCAAGGCAACGAUGCGUAGCCGACCUGAGAGGGUGAUCGGCCACACUGGAACUGAGACACGGUCCAG